rnacentral:rRNA from 1 species
CGCGUAGGCGGCGCUGGAAGUCAGGCGUGAAAGCCCCGGGCUCAACCUGGGAGGUGCGCUUGGGACUCUGGUGCUGGAGUUCGGGAGAGGAGCGUGGAAUUCCCAGUGUAGAGGUGAAAUUCGUAGAUAUUGGGAAGAACACCGGUGGCGAAGGCGGCGCUCUGGACCGAUACUGACGCUGAGGCGCGAAAGCGUGGGGAGCAAACAGGAUUAGAUACCCUGGUAGUCCACGCUGUAAACGAUGUGUGCUAGACGUUGGGGAGCCUAGCUCUUCGGUGUCGCCGCAAACGCUUUAAGCACACCGCCUGGGGAGUACGGCCGCAAGGUUAAA